CUCGUAGACGGUUCAGUAAGUCGGGUGUGAAAACUUUGGGCUUAACCCAAAGCGUGCAUCCGAUACUGCUGUGACUUGAGUACGGUAGGGGAGCGGGGAAUUCCUAGUGUAGCGGUGAAAUGCGCAGAUAUUAGGAGGAACACCGGUGGCGAAGGCGCCGCUCUGGGCCGAAACUGACGCUGAGGAGCGAAAGCAUGGGUAAGCAAACAG
rnacentral:rRNA from 1 species